UCCCUCUCCUCUCUUUCUCUCUCCCUUUCCCUGCCUUCCCUCUCCUCUCUUUCUCUCUCCCUUUCCCUCCCUUCCCUCUCCCUCUCCUCUCUUUCUCUCUCUCUUUCCCUCCCUUCCCUCUCCCUCUCCUCUCUUUCUCUCUCUCUUUCCCUUGGUUUCCUUUGGUUGCAUUAUAACAGUCAAUCCCUAGCACACCCCAGUGGAUUUACAGUAUGUUUAAUAAGGUGAUCCUGUGUGUUCUAUACUUCCUGCUCUCUGGACCAGGAGGAAGACAUACCCAGUGAAUAAAACCCUACAUCUACGCCCCUGAUAAGUGGUCCUGUCAGUGGAUUUCCUGUAAUGUCCUGUGUCUCUUCAUCCACUGAUAGUGACCAGGCACUCCUGCCUACCCGCUUUAAUUCCAUUAGCCUCUCUCUCCUCAUAGUCUGAUCUACUUUACAGAGACCUGUUUGUGGGAUUUAUUUUGACAAAGAUGUGUUUGUGUCUGUGACAACAGUGAGCAUGGAGCUGUCCCUCCAUCAAAACCAUCUGGACACCCCCUGACUGGAUGGGGAUUUAUACAAACCAUUUAUAUACAUAUAUAUUUAUAUUACAGACUUUGAUUUGUCUUCAUGUAUUUUUUGCCUUUUGUUUUACUUGUGGAUGAUGUGAAACACAAGCAUUAGAUAUUACUGUACUGUUGGAGAUAUAAACACAAGCAUUAUGUAUUACUGUACUGUUGGAGCUAUAAACACAAGCAUUAUAUAUUACUGUACUGUUGGAGCUAGAAACACAAGCAUUAUGUAUUACUGUACUGUUGGAGCUAUAAACACAAGCAUUAUAUAUUACUGUACUGUUGGAGCUAUAAACACAAGCAUUAUAUAUUACUGUACUGUUGGAGCUAUAAACACAAGCAUUAGAUAUUACUGUACUGUUGGAGCUAUAAACACAAGCAUUAAGUAUUACUGUACUGUUGGAGCUAUAAACACAAGCAUUAUAUAUUACUGUACUGUUGGAGCUAUAAACACAAGCAUUAAGUAUUACUGUACUGUUGGAGCUAUAAACACAAGCAUUAUAUAUUACUGUACUGUUGGAGCUAUAAACACAAGCAUUAUAUAUUACUGUACUGUUGGAGCUAUAAACACAAGCAUUAUAUAUUACUGUACUGUUGGAGCUAGGACCAGCUUGCUUAGG
rnacentral:lncRNA from 1 species